rnacentral:rRNA from 1 species
CAGUAGCCGCGGUAAUACGGAGGGUGCAAGCGUUAAUCGGAAUUACUGGGCGUAAAGCGCACGCAGGCGGUUUGUUAAGUCAGAUGUGAAAUCCCCGAGCUUAACUUGGGAACUGCAUUUGAAACUGGCAAGCUAGAGUCUUGUAGAGGGGGGUAGAAUUCCAGGUGUAGCGGUGAAAUGCGUAGAGAUCUGGAGGAAUACCGGUGGCGAAGGCGGCCCUCUGGACAAAGACUGACGCUCAGGUGCGAAAGCGUGGGAAGCAAACAGGAUUAGAUACCCCGGUAGUCCCUGUCUCUUAUAA